GCAUCCGCAGGACAGCACAGGCCAAUCACAGCUGACACAGAUGGUGGGAGGUGCUCGUGCCUCUCACGGUGAUCAGAAACAUCACCGUUGCAGGUGACGCCACUUCACUUAACACUGGGUGUGGGCGGAUUCAUCCGCUCUGAAAAUUACGUCUUUGGUGGACAUCAGCGUGGACUUGGGUUGUCUUUUCACUUUCUUGCUAAUGUCCUUGGAUGAUCCACAACUUUUCCAAAGCAGAACCUCAGCCUGCAGCGGAUGUGGCACUAUUGUCACAGUGGAUGCGACGGUUGGGCACUUGCUCCCCUAGGGUGACUUGACUUAAACUUCUGGCUGGUUCAGAGGGAAAACAAGACUGGUGGUCUUGAUGGACCCAGUUUUUGUGGGCAUCUGUUUACGCGGCCCUUGCAUGCAUAGCCUGCCCUGCAGAGCUGGUGGGCAUCCCAGCAAAGUCCCAGAGCAGAAUGGAGGGAUCCCAGUGGGUGCUGCGGGGAGGCUGGCAGUGGCCUUGCUGUACUCACCUUUGCCCACAGCUGGAAAUUAGUGCUUCAUGUGUGAGGAGCAUGUGUUUUCACUUCCCCUGCACCAGGAGUCUCCACACACCUGGGCGUGCAUUUAUGCUGUGGGACGUGGGAGCAGUGGGGACCAUGUGGACAGAGCCACACCUGUACCUGGGCAGGAAGCAGAGCGGGGAAUGUGCUUGGGAGUCUGUGCAUCCAUGCAUGUGUGCGUGCAUGUGCGUGCAUGUGUGCAUGUCUGUGCAUGCCUGUGGACGUGUGUGUGUGCAUGUCUGUGCCUGCAUGUGGACGUGUGUGUACGUGUGCAUGUGUGUGUGCAAAAUGGGGCUGUGGUGAUCUACUCUGCUAGAUUCUAGGGGUUAUAAUUGACUUCAGGAUGGAUCAUGAGUAGCUGGUUGCAUCUCUGACAAGCUGACCAUCCUGCACUGAUCCAUGCAGGCUAUUUCUAUGACAAAUUGGAUUUGCUCCCAAACAGCCCAUUCUUGGGGAAAUGCACUGCAUUUCUUCUUUUUUGGGUAAAUGAUACGGCCUCAGAUGUGGACUGGCUCCUCACCUGGCUGAGCCGGGCGAAGAUGCAGGAGGACACGCUCUUCCUGGGGUGGCUGUGCUGAGACCUGCCAGGCCCAGCUCACUCCAGCUACUUCCUCAGGAUGGGAAGCCCAGGUGAAGGAGGCACAUCGGGAAAGUUUUGGUCAUUUUAUCUCUUUCCAGAGUAAAGCUCCAAUAUUGUAGAUUCAAGGAAGAAUUUUGUUUCAUUUCAGUUGUGGGUUUUUCUACCCAAUAUAGGUCAGCUGGAUCUCACAAGCUAUUGUGGCUUCUAAGGCAUAGCCUGUCGAUUCUAAGGAAAUUUGUAUUGUUCUCCUCCAUCAGAGAAAGGGGAGAGUUUCUUGGGGGAGAGGAAGCAAGAAUUGCUAAGACUGGUUAAGGAAAUGUCUACUCCAGAGUUUAGCUCUCCCAUGCCUUUGGGGGACAGAGAAUUCUAUAAAGAUCAUGAGGCUUCCCAGAGCUUUCCAUCUUUUUAAAUGAGGAAUUUGUUAAAAAUCAUCCAUAAUUUAGUAAUAUGUUGCUUUAAGAUGGCAAUAUUUUAAAAUAAAUAACUCCAUAGUAAUCAAUAAGCCUUCUAUUCUUUUAAUUGUUAUUUGCUAGAAGCUUUUGCUGGACUUGCUCCAUGGAUCACAAUUUAUUAUUUGUUUGGUGUAUGAAAAUAGUCCAUUAGAAAUUGUGUUAGAGUUCACUUUAUAGCUCAGUAUCCAGGAACAGCAAGAAAUCUAUUCACCUCCCUGUCUUCAAUGCUUGAUUAGUUCCAGCAUUUCAGGCUGAUAGCACUUAUUUGGUUCUUGCUUGUCUCCAACUUGCAGUAAUAUAAUCUUUUAUAAAACAUGUAUAAAGAUAUAAAACAUAUCUUUCAAAGUUUAUCAUUUAUAGCCUAUAGAUUGAGCCAUCAUAAAACAAAUGAUUUAUUUAUGUUCAUUAGUCUUAAUUUUAGAUGUGUUUCUGCCACUCCGAAGCUUAUUCAACCAAUUACCAUAAAUGAGUCUGUUCAUUCAUUUUCCAUGAAAUGCACAGGCCCAGCACAUGUAACUGCUUUAACUACUUAGCUAUUAAUUACAUACUAACUACAUAAAUAUGGAAAAUUAUCAUACAUGUUUUAUGUAUCACCCCUGAGAUGUGCAUGUCGGUUUGAAAUUGAGUGGAGUUAUAUCAAAAUUACAUUUCACUUCUAUGAAUU
ensembl:lncRNA GMDS-DT GMDS divergent transcript